GCGGAAGGAUCUAUUA
rnacentral:rRNA from 1 species